AGGACGGUGUGGCAGGGGGAUGUGGGCCCAGAACCUUCUGGAAGGGCGCUGGGCUCCCGUGCAGGCCCCGUGGGGGUCCUGGAGGAUGGAGGAGCAGCCCCCCAUGGCUUCAGGGGCCCCAGAGCUGGCCACGGUGCCCGAGAGAGCUCACCGCGCCCCAGAGCCAGCGUGGGGCAGACCCCGGGAGACGGCGUCCGGCUGAGGACCACCUGCGAAGGACAAAGGACAAUGACCCAGAGCCCUGGGGACGCAGAGGGCAUCCCGGAGCCGGGGAACCAGCCUGAGCAAAGGCUGGCGGUGAAACUGCAUCACGGGGACCCCUGGAGAGACCGGCCUGGUUGGGGGUAUGCACUAGGGGUCGGGGGUCAAAGGCCUUAACAAGCGUCCAGCAGAGCAGUGACCACUCGGGGCGGGCGAGGAGGGGGGCUCGGCUCAGGAGGGGUCAGGAGGCCCCGCUGUAUCCGGGGGACCCUUCGAUUUCUGGGGCUUGGGGGGGGAGCGAGGGGCCUCCCAGCCGGACAGGAGCGCAUCAGCUUUGCCACGCCCGUCGGCCGUGGGCACAGGACCGGGUGGCCCUCAGGACGCUGCUUCUGGGGUGCCCUGAGCCCCGUCACACUCAGCACGGUUCCCGGCCCCCGGUAAACCCCCUGCAAGUCAGCUGGUCACCCUCAGAGGAGUUAAACAGGGAGCGACCUUCGGACCUGGCACUUCAGCCCUGUGACCACACGGGAGAAAUGAAGACAUGUGUCCACACAGACGCUUACUCCUGAAUGUCCACGGCAGCACGAGUCACGAGAGCUAAAAAGUGGACACAACCCAAACAUCCAUCACCAGAUGAUGGACACACACACGUGUCCCUCCACACACUGGGACACGACGCAGCCGUGAAGAGGAGCGAGGCCCUGACAUGGCCACACGUGGACGGACCUGAACACGCGACGCUCAGAGAGAGAAGCAGACACAGAAGGACACACGGUGUGUGACCCCAUUGACAUGAAACAUCCAGAACAGGCCGAUCCACAGACAGAGAGCAGG
rnacentral:lncRNA from 1 species